rnacentral:lncRNA from 1 species
GGAGAUGAAGUUGGAGGAGUUGAGACCGGAGGUGCAGCCAAGAGUUUUUUUUUUUUUUUUUAAUGGCGGUGAAGGUCGAGAUUCCGGCGAAGGCUGGCUAUAAAAAUUUUAAGGGGCGAAAUUCAUAAUUUAGAUUAAAAAAAAAGUUAACGGAAAGAUAACAGUUGUUAACUCGAUGGGUUUAAAUGCACCAUUUUUAUGGACUCUGGGGGUGUAUUUGGGCCAAGGUCGAGAAUGAUGAGUGAUACGCUUUAGGGGUGUCUAAUUUAGUGGUGAAUUUGUACCUUAACCCUUUUAAAUAUACCCACUUUUUUUAAUUGAUUCAGCCCAUGACCGUCA